rnacentral:rRNA from 1 species
UCUCCUGGAAAAGGGUGGUAAUGCCGGAUGCUCCAUCACACCGCAUGGUGUGUUGGGAAAGCCUUUGCGGCAUGGGAUGGGGUCGCGUCCUAUCAGCUUGAUGGCGGGGUAACGGCCCACCAUGGCUUCGACGGGUAGCCGGCCUGAGAGGGCGACCGGCCACAUUGGGACUGAGAUACGGCCCAGACUCCUACGGGAGGCAGCAGUGGGGAAUAUUGCACAAUGGGCGCAAGCCUGAUGCAGCGACGCCGCGUGAGGGAUGGAGGCCUUCGGGUUGUAAACCUCUUUUGUUAGGGAGCAAGGCAUUUUGUGUUGAGUGUACCUUUCGAAUAAGCACCGGCUAACUACGUGCCAGCAGCCGCGGUAAUACGUAGGGUGCAAGCGUUAUCCGGAAUUAUUGGGCGUAAAGGGCUCGUAGGCGGUUCGUCGCGUCCGGUGUGAAAGUCCAUCGCUUAACGGUGGAUCCGCGCCGGGUACGGGCGGGCUUGAGUGCGGUAGGGGAGACUGGAAUUCCCGGUGUAACGGUGGAAUGUGUAGAUAUCGGAAAGAACACCA